AUACGGAGGGUGCAAGCGUUAUCCGGAUUCAUUGGGUUUAAAGGGUACGUAGGCGGAUAGAUAAGUUAGCGGUGAAAUCCCGAAGCUCAACUUCGGAACUGCCAUUAAAACUGUCUAUCUAGAAUUUGGUUGAAGUGGGCGGAAUAUGACAUGUAGCGGUGAAAUGCAUAGAUAUGUCAUGGAACACCGAUAGUGAAGACAGCUCACUAAGCCAAUAUUGACGCUGAGGUACGAAAGCAUGGGUAGCGAACAGGAUUAGAAACCCCAGUAGUCC
rnacentral:rRNA from 1 species